UACGGGGGGAGCAAGCGUUGUUCGGAUUUACUGGGCGUAAAGGGCGCGUAGGCGGCGCAACAAGUCACUUGUGAAAUCUCCGGGCUUAACCCGGAGCGGUCAAGUGAUACUGUCGUGCUAGAGUGCAGAAGGGGCAACUGGAAUUCUCGGUGUAGCGGUGAAAUGCGUAGAUAUCGAGAGGAACACCUGCGGCGAAGGCGGGUUGCUGGGCUGACACUGACGCUGAGGCGCGAAAGCUAGGGGAGCGAACGG
rnacentral:rRNA from 1 species